rnacentral:rRNA from 1 species
GACGAACGCUGGCGGCGUGCUUAACACAUGCAAGUCGAACGAAGUGGCGAACGGGUGAGUAACGCGUAAUCAACCUGCCCUUCAGAGGGGGACAACAGUUGGAAACGACUGCUAAUACCGCAUACUGAAGGAGGGGCUUGCGUCUGCGUAGCUAGUUGGAGGGGUAACGGCCCACCAAGGCGAUGAUCAGUAGCCGGGCUGAGGGGAAGAACGGCCAAAUGGGGACUGAGAAACGGCCCAGACUCCUACGGGGGGCAGCAGUUGGGAAUCUUCCGCAAUGGAGGAAAGUCUGACUGAGCAACGCCGCGUGAGUGAUGACGGCCUUCGGGUUGUAAAGCUCUGUUAAUCGGGACGCGUUACCGGAAUAGAAAGCCACGGCUAACUACGUGCCAGCAGCCGCGGUAAUUC